rnacentral:lncRNA from 1 species
AGCGACCCUUCCAUCUCAGCUUCCUGAGUAGCUGGGACUACAGCUAGAAGAUCAGGUCAGGUUUGAGGCCUGAAAAUUCUGCUGGCAGAGAUGGAAACACAACACGUGCAUUUCUGCUGAGAACCAAAGCCUACGGUCUGCAGAGAGCAGGCAGAGAGAUUCAGCUGGACCAGCCCCAGCUGGAAGAAACAAAUCUGGUGUUCCCUGACUCUGCACCACCCAAGUCAGGGUGGUUCAGUCCCCCAGCUUCGACAGAAGAACCACAUCACUCAGGCCCACAAUUCCCCAAACCACAGGAAGAGCAACCAGGUUUUAGGCCCUGGUGAUGGGACAGGUGGCCAUGAGGCCUCCUGUGUAAACCUGGAACUUGGGAAGAGGCCUUGGAGCAACCGGCUACACCCAGAAGCUCCCACCCCAGCUCACGGGUGAAGGGCCAGUGGAACAGGAGAAGCUCCCACCCCAGCUCACGGGGGAAGGGCCAGUGGAACAGGGAUGUGUUCUUCCUACAGAAAGCCUUGUGACUUCCUGCCCUUUCAGUAAAGGCUUUUGUGCAUUCUACUGGAAUGUCAGGUAUCAAACCACUACCGCCACCGCAUAGCCCUUGCCCGCCUGCAGUCGGCCUUCUGGUCCGUCUGACGCAGUCGAACUCUGCAGCGUUCACCUUGCUUCCUAUCUUGUUUUGCUUCCAACUUUCCAUUACAAAAAACUUCCAACAUAGAGAAUAUUAACAACUACUUCCGACCGGGCGCGGUGGCUCACACCUGUAAUCCCAGCA